AAGAUUAACCGAUUACACCCCUUUCUUCUUCCACCCUCGAUCGGGUUUCUUCGAUACCCAGGAAAGUCAUAUCCUCUUAUUUAUUCUCACACAUGUACUUCGUAUUAGUUUAGAAUCCAGUAAAUUUUGUAGUACAAGUAAGUUAUUUUCAUCAAAUCUAUUUCUCGGUCUUGAGCUGCAGAUCGGAGAAGAUGGAUGCAUCCAGGUGUCAAACUUCUGUGUUGGAAUUGUGUGAUGUGUUGACGCCCUUGAAACCCAAAUCAGUCGAAUGUAGUACUAGUGACAAAGGUAUUAAGGUUGUAAAAGAUAGGAUCAGCAGUUUACCGGAUUAUUUAUUGGCCGACAUUCUUUCAUUUCUUCCUUUUAAGGAUGCCGUUGUUACUAGUGUAUUGUCAAAGCGUUGGAAGGGUGUUUUCACUUUGGUAACAUGCCUUCACUUUGACGACUCGCCUAUUUCUCAUUGUUUGCACCGUCCACAUCGUAUUCAUUCGUUCCCUAUUUUCAAGAUAUUUGUGGAUAACUUAUUGAAACAAUGUUGCUCCACCUAUUUAACCACUUAUAGACUUCAUUUUGGCAAGGGAAAAUUCAACCGUUUCGAAUGUGGCGAAAGUUGUUUUCCCAAUAUGAGUCGUUCUCAUCUUAAAUCCUGGAUAUCUUUUCCUAUAUGCCAUGGAGUCAGGGAACUUGAAAUUUUUGCUCGCGUGAGGAGUCCCACUGUCCUGCCCUCCGCCCUUUACCGUUGUAAAACAUUGGAGGUGUUGAAGCUUGAUAUUAAUCUUAAUCUUGGAGUUCCUUUAUCUACUUGUUUCCCAAACAUGAAAGAGUUCCAUCUUACUUUUCUCGACUUCCCAAAAGAUAACUCUGUGACUAGGCUAAUUUCAAGGUGCCCAUCUCUUGAAUACCUGGCUCUGACUGCUGUGAAUUGGAAACUUGUGAAUCCCGUUAAUAUUUGUUCGCCUUCUCUUCGUAGAUUGGCUAUAAAUAUUACUGAUAAUUGGUUCAAAAAACCAAGGAGCAAGGUUGUACUUAAUGUUCCUAAUUUGGAGUAUCUAAACUAUGUGGAUGUUUGGUCAUUGAGCUAUUCCAUUGGAGAUAUGAAUUCUCUAGUUGAAGCUGAGGUUAAUAUUGCAGCUAGGGGUAGUUUUGAGACUGUACUUAACCUUAUUAGCUCGUUGUCUAAUGUCCGGCGUUUGCAUCUAAUGGCAAUGUGCGUACAGGUUUUAAAUCAAUGUGAGAUACUGAAGCAUAAGUUGCCCGUCUUUCGUAAUCUGAAUCAUUUGCAGCUUGGCUGUUGGAACUAUUUCAAAUGGAAUAAAAUAUUGAUGGAGCUGCUAACUUGUGCACCUUUUCUAGAAACACUUACUUUUACAGAGAAAAAAAUUGGAAUCCUGUAAGCAUGAGCUUGACAACCUCUGUGGAUCCCGUACAGAACAUCAAGGGAUCAUCAACAAAGCAUAGAUGGUUUAACUGCAAGCUUCUGCAUCUGGAAUGAAACUGGAAUUGAGGAUGAUCCCCAACUGUGAACAUUGCCCUUGAAAACUAUUCCAUGCGUAAGGUGAACAAGAGAGGAGAAUGAUCUAUGUAGUAGGCACUCCAUUGAUGAGUAUGGAGUACUGUGUUGUUGUGAGACAGGUCAUGACUAACUGAAAGAAAUGAGGAGGGAAGCCCAGGGCUACCGUGACUUCUUCAAUAAAGUUCCACUCUACAAUGUCAUAUGCCCUCCUAAGAUCUCAGUCACAAAUGCCCCUUGAUUGCGAGAAAUGAUGUCAGGCAGAACUGAAUUCACCUAUUAGAUAACAUAGCAGUAUCUGGAAUGAUGGGUGUUUGGAGGGAUUAGCUCAAGUAGGUGCUGUAAUAAUCUGAAGCAAAGGUUUGUGAUUCGUGGCAGUUUAAUGGGAGAUGGGAACCAGAGGUCGCUGAGGCCAAAGCUAUUUUCUAUGAUCUCAAGCUAGCUGCAGAUUGCAGAAUAUGGGUUUUGAGAUGUAAUAAUGGAGAGAGUGAUUGCCCCAAUUCUAAAGCAGUUUUCUUUUGGAAUCAUUUUUGUGAUUCUUCUUUUGAGUUAUGUGUCUUGGAAUUUUGUCUGCAGGAGGGAUAAUAAAGUAGCCCCUUGAUUC